UACGGGGGGGGCAAGCGUUGUUCGGAAUUACUGGGCGUAAAGGGCUUGUAGGUGGCCAACUAAGUCAGACGUGAAAUCCCUCGGCUUAACCGGGGAACUGCGUCUGAUACUGGAUGGCUUGAGUUUGGGAGAGGGAUGCGGAAUUCCAGGUGUAGCGGUGAAAUGCGUAGAUAUCUGGAGGAACACCGGUGGCGAAGGCGGCAUCCUGGACCAACACUGACACUGAUGAGCGAAAGCCAGGGGAGCAAACGGG
rnacentral:rRNA from 1 species